rnacentral:rRNA from 1 species
CAGCCGCCGCGGUAAAACGGAGGGGGCUAGCGUUGUUCGGAAUUACUGGGCGUAAAGCGUGCGCAGGCGGUUGUGUAAGACAGGUGUGAAAUCCCCGGGCUUAACCUGGGAACUGCGCUUGUGACUGCACGGCUGGAGUAUGGCAGAGGGGGGUGGAAUUCCACGUGUAGCAGUGAAAUGCGUAGAGAUGUGGAGGAACACCGAUGGCGAAGGCAGCCCCCUGGGCCAAUACUGACGCUCAUGCACGAAAGCGUGGGGAGCAAACAGGAUUAGAUACCCCGGUAGUCCCUGUCUCUUAUAC